rnacentral:rRNA from 1 species
GAUGACCGCUAGCGGCAAGCUUAAUACAUGCAAGUCGAGGGGCAGCAGGUUUGUAGCAAUACAGAUGCUGGCGACCGGCAAACGGGUGCGGAACACGUACAGAACCUUCCUUUAAGUGGGGGAUAGCCCAGGGAAACUUGGAUUAAUACCCCGUAAUAUAAUGAAGUGGCAUCACUUUAUUAUUAUAGCUCAGGCGCUUGAAGAUGGCUGUGCGGCUGAUUAGGUAGUUGGCGGGGUAACGGCCCACCAAGCCUGCGAUCAGUAACUGGUGUGAGAGCACGACCAGUCACACGGGCACUGAGACACGGGCCCGACUCCUACGGGAGGCAGCAGUAAGGAAUAUUGGGCAAUGGACGCAAGUCUGACCCAGCUAUGCCGCGUGGAGGAUGAAGGUCCUCUGGAUUGUAAACUUCUUUUAUCUGGGAAGAAACCUAUUUUUUCUAAAAUAGCUGACGGUACCAGGUGAAUAAGCACCGGCUAACUCCGUGCCAGCAGCCGCGGUAAUACGGAGGGUGCAAGCGUUAUCCGGAUUCACUGGGUUUAAAGGGUGCGUAGGUGGGUUGGUAAGUCAGUGGUGAAAUCUCCGAGCUUAACUUGGAAACUGCCAUUGAUACUAUCAGUCUUGAAUACCGUGGAGAUGAGCGGAAUAUGUCAUGUAGCGGUGAAAUGCUUAGAUAUGACAUAGAACACCAAUUGCGAAGGCAGCUCGUUACACGAAUAUUGACACUCAGGCACGAAAGCGUGGGGAUCAAACAGGAUUAGAUACCCUGGUAGUCCACGCCCUAAACGAUGGAUACUCGACAUACGCGAUACACAGUGUGUGUCUGAGCGAAAGCAUUAAGUAUCCCACCUGGGAAGUACGAUCGCAAGAUUG